AGCUGGAAGACCGGAAGACUGGAGGGCUGACGUUACCUGCAGGCUUCAUGGAGGCUGGAGGCUUGGUUUCCCAGAUGGCUCACUCACACGGCAGACUUUGUGCUCCAUCAGUUGAAGAGUAGGAUGAAGAAAAAAAAAAAAGGUUACAUGAAGAUGAUGGAAUUAUAAUCAGGCCUUGAAGAACGGAGACAAUUCCAGCCAUUGUUGUAGAUGUGGAGGCUGAAGGACAUUCCAAUUUGAAGGAACAGAAGAUGGGAUCUCACUCUGCUGCCCAGGCUGGUCUCCUCCUGCCUUGGCCUCCCAAAGUGUUGGAAUUACAAGUGUGAGCCACUGUGCCUGGCCCUGAAUAAGUUUCUUGACCCAGAGUUCCUGAAGAGGAGGAUGGGAACCUUGGAGGCUGUUUCUCCAGGCUGUGAUGGAGUCUUGUUGUGUUGCCCAGCCUGGCGUCUAACCCCUGGCCUCAAGCGAUCUUCCUGCCUUGGCCCCCCAAAGUGCUGGAAGUAUAGGCAUGAGUCACCACGCCCAGCCAAAUUUGUGUCUUAUUUUUAAUAAAUUUGGACGUGGUCGUAAUUUAAAGAGUUAAAUACUUCCAAAGACAUGUUAGAAAAAAGAGAAGAUCCUUUUCAACUCUCCUCCAUUUUCAGCUCCUCAGAAGUAAGCAUUUUUUCAGUUCUUAUAGCUGAUCUUUUGUUAUUUGGUUUAUAUUUAUAUGUCUAAAUAAUACAGUUAUGUCUUUAGCUCUUGGUUUUUUUUUUCAGUAUUACCUAUUAUCUAUUGACUUACCGUGUGGACAGUGAGGGUUAGCUCUCUUUCACUUCCCAGUCACACACACCAGUCACACACACACACACCAGUCACACACACACACACCAGUCACACACACACACACAC
rnacentral:lncRNA from 10 species